AAACCAGCACCUCAAGUGGUCAGGAGGUUUAUUGGGCCUAAAGCAUCCGUAGCCUGAUCUAUAAGUUUCCGGUUAAAUCCACAUGCUCAACAUUUGGGCUGCCGGAAAAACUGUAGAUCUAGGGAGUGGGAGAGGUAGACGGUACUCGGUAGGAAGGGGUAAAAUCCUUUGAUCUAUUGAUGACCACCAGUGGCGAAGGCGGUCUACCAGAACACGUUCGACGGUGAGGGAUGAAAGCUGGGGGAGCAAACCGGAUUAGAAACCCGAGUAGUCC
rnacentral:rRNA from 1 species